AUGGCGCUGAAAGCAAAGAAGGAAGCUCCUGCCUCUCCUGAAGCCGAAGCCAAAGCGAAGGCUUUAAAGGCCAAGAAGGCAGCGUUGAAAGGUGUCCACAGCCACAUAAAAAAGAAGACCCGCACGUCACUCACCUUCCAGCGGCCCAAGACACUGCGACGCCGGAGGCGGCCUGAAUAUCCUUGGAAGAGCACCCCCAGGAGAAACAAGCUUGGCCACUAUGCUGUCAUCAAGUUUCCGCUGACCACGGAGUCGGCCGUGAAGAGGACAGAAGAAAACAACACGCUUUUGUUCACUGUGGAUGUUAAAGCCAACAAGCACCAGAUCAAACAGGCUGUGAAGAAGCUCUAUGACGGUGAUGUGGCCGAGGUCACCACCCUGAUUCCGCCUGAUGGAGAGAAGAAGGCAUGUGUUCGACUGGCUCCUGAUUACGAUGCGUUGGAUGUUGCCAACAAAAUUGGGAUCAUCUAA
rnacentral:lncRNA from 1 species